ensembl:ncRNA asRNA:CR43478 antisense RNA:CR43478
ACAGAAGGAGCCCUGUCCCUGGGCGGGCGGAUAUACUUGUUCGACUCCGUGGGGCGGUGAUUUGCUUGCUCCAGGUAACGGUGAUAGGCGGUGACGUACUCGUUGUUGUCAAUAGUAGCAAUCGGACCUCUGCGAAGACGGAAAGGUGAGUGGUCCUAUCGUAUUCGACUCCCGCCGCUUAUUGCCUCGCAACCAGGAUGGAUUCAGGCGCAGGGUUCCGAAGACGAUGAGCAUGCCGAGGAAGCUGCCGAUGAAGAGGAGACCCACUCCCAAGCCAAUGACCAGUCCGCUGUGGUCCUCGAACCAGGAGACCUGUGCAGAGACCACACAUCGCAUGGUAUGGUGGGAACAACAGUUGGAUGCGGAGGUAAAGUUCUCGCCUAAUAUCACACAGAAGAAUGUGGGAGUGGUGCAAGUCGAUUCGCAGAUCUCCACCAGUAAACCAUCCUGGCACGACGAUUUUCCCAGAUCUGCAGAUGCAACCGUAUCGGUGGUAAUUCUGGAGCACUCUAGAUCCUGGCAAAGUUCCUCUUCGCAUUUUGGCGAUGGUGUUGUUAAUAUCGUUGUUUCUGUCAUAGAUGUACUUUCUUCUUUGGGUGUUGUUGUACUUUGUGUUGAUGGUGGUGAAAUUUCUAUGGAAGUAGUAGGUCCUAGUGUAGUGGUGCCCACUACUUCUGGAGCCAUCGCUCUCUUCGCUAGGAUAGUAGAUAUCUCUUCAGCGUUAGUAGUUGUCUCAGGAGAGAACGCGGAUACGUCCAACUGAUGUUCAUAGUUGCCCGUCUUUUGAGCUCCACCCAAGUCCAAAUAGUGCAACAAUUUGAGUCUUGGCCUCACGAUUUCCCACUCGAUGUUGCCCAACCCACAGUUCCUUAGAAGUAGUUGUUCCAACGCGGGCAGAUUGUCAAAGGACUCUUUAAUAAGGCUUUUGUCCAAGUGUGUGCCACUCAGAUCUAAAUAUUUCAACUGUGGGAAAUUCCGGGAUCCCAAAAAAUCACACACUGAAUACGAUAUUGCCGCGGCUAGUGACUGGUGGAUUUCCGCACUGACUAACGAUUCAGCCACAGCUGAGAGGAAUCCAAAUGGCCUGAAGUGAUUAUUUUCAUUGACUAGAGUAAAGUUCUGAAGCUUUUGAAGACCUUCCAGGGCAGAUUCAGUCAAGUUUUCCAAUUGCACAUUAAUGAGCUGCAGGCUUGUUAUGUUCACAGUGCUUUCCUGAUUAAAAGCUGCGUCGUUGAUAUGAACUAUGGUGCAGUUCUCGAUGACAAGGCUAUGCAAUGCAAUUCCUCCGGAGAAAAAUCCCCGGCGCAGUGUGUUAUUUUCAAAUCCAUAGCCAGAUAUAAUGAGCGAUGUGUCAUUGCCCAGAUGCGUGGAAUCCUCACUAUUAUC